CCCAAAAUGACACUUGGAGAUACCCAAAAUGACACUUGGAGAUGCCCAAAGGUACACUUGGAGAUGCCCAAAGUGACACUUGGAGAUGCCCAACGGGACACUUGGAGAUGCCCAAAGUGACACUUGGAGAUGCCCAAGGGGACACUUGGAGAUGACCAAAGGGACAAUUGGAGAUGCCCAAAAUAACACUUGGAGAUACCCAAAGGGACACUUGGAGAUGCCCAAAGUGACACUUGGAGAUGUGCAAAAGGACUCUUGAAGAUGCUGAAAGGGACACUUGGAGAUGCACAAAGGGCCACUUGGAGUUGUCCAAAUGGACACUUGGAGAUGCCCAAAUAGACACUUGGAAAUGUCCAAAUGGACACUUGGAGAUGCCCAAAGGGACACUUGGAAAUGUCCAAAAGGACUCUUGAAGAUGCUGAAAGGGAGUUGUCCAAAUGGAUACUUGGAGAUGCCCAAAGUGACAUUUGGAGAUGCCCAAAAGGACACUUGGAGAUGCCCUAAAGGACACUUGGAGAUGCCCAAAAUGACACUUGGAGAUGCCCAAGGGGACACUUGGAGAUGCCCAAAAGGACGCUUGGAGAUGCCCAAAGUAACACUUGGAGAUGCCCAAGGGAACACUUGGAGAUACCCAAAGUGACACUUGCAGAUGCCCAAAAUGACACUUGGAGAUGCCCAACGGGACACUUAAAGAUGCCCAAAGUGACACUUGGAGAUGCCCAAAAUGACACUUGGAGAUGCCCAAAAUGACACUUGAAGAUGCCCAAGGGGACACUUGGAGAUGCCCAAAAUGACACUUGGAGAUGCCCAAGGGGACACUUGGAGAUGCCCAAAGGGACAUUUGGAGAUGCCCAAAAUAACACUUGGAGAUGCCCAAAAGGACACUUGGAGAUGCCCAAAAUAACACUUGGAGAUGCCCAAAGUGACACUUGGAGAUGACCAAAGUGACACUUGAAGAUGCCCAAAGGGCCACUUGGAGAUGUGCAAAAGGACACUUGGAGAUGCCCAAAGUGACACUUGGAGAUGCCCAAAGUGACACUUGGAGAUUCCCAAAGGGCCACUUGGAGAUGUGCAAAAGGACACUUGGAGAUGUCCAAAAGGACUCUUGGAGAUGCCCUAAAGAACACUUGGAGAUGUCCAAAGGGACACUUGGAGAUGUCCAAAUGGACACUUGUAGGUAAAGGAUGUAGUCUCGGUAAACAGUGACAUUUAAAUAUUCAAGCUGUUAAAUCCAAUAAUGAAAUCAGAUAGUAUGUUUGUGUUUAUAAAUCGGAGGUAGGAUUGGAAUGUGUUUUGUGUGAGAAAGUUUAUACAGGGCUGUUUCUGCGUGGAGAAACUUCAUAUCUAUUCUGUACUUCCUUUAGAUAAAUGUCACGGGUGAAACUAAAUAUUGUGGUGCUGACUGAACUGGAAGUCGAGUGAACCGAGCGGCUGCUGGUUGAAUCACUGACCGGGAAGGUGGAUCGGUGAGGCUAUACAGUCUGGGGCAAGGGUAAGGAUUCCACUCGACCUUCCACAAAGUUAAGUAUCAGCGCUGUAAUCCGGUUCUGUACAAGUUGCUUUCUGUUUAUUUGAGCGUAUGCCCUGUGUCUGUCGCAGCGCUCUGGAAACCACGUGGACCUGCAGGCGAGUGUGAGAACGUGAGAGACUCUAUUGUUAUGGCGUUGUCUGCUCCUAAAGAGGCGUGCUGAGGAGAAUGAAGUGUGAGAACGCUCACGCUUCCCUUAGUUAAAAACGGUCAAAUGGAGAAACAAGGUUUGAAUAUAAGUCAUUUAUGCACGAAGUGGAGUUACACUUAAACAAAAGUGAAAAAUAAAUAAAUAAGCAUCUAUUAACAGUACAGAGCGCGUGAGUCAGUGGUGUAUUUAAUUGAAACUAGCAGCAUUGUUCUCCUGUUAUAACUGUCCAAGUUGACACGGUUCAGAUUCAUUCAUCAGAUUCAUUUAAAUAUCUAAAGUAUGUUAUAAAUAGUUAAUUGAAAUUUAUAAUGCGUUUUUACUCCCGGGAUGUGCUUUUAUCCACGGCAGACGUUUUUACGCACGGUACGCACUUUUACGCAGCGGAUGCGUUUUUACGCACGGAAUGCGUUUUUACGCACGGAAUGCGUUUUUACGCACGGAAUGCGUUUUUUUCGCACGGGAUGCGCUUUUACGCACGGGAUGCGCUUUUACGCACGGGAUGCGUUUUUACGCACAGAAUGUCCCAUUACGUGACUGGUGCAGUUUUUAUGCAUCUGUUGUAGAUUUAAAUUUCGGUAAUAAAUUAUCUUUCCAUCUCUUUGUGCGGUAACACACUAGAUAACUAGUGUGUUAAAAUUGGUAACACAAUAAAGUGUUUUAAUUAAAGUCUGAAAAAUGGAAAUGUCUACCAGUAAUGUUUUAAUUCACUAUGAUUUUAAAAUUGUGUUUCAUCUACUGAUAUAUUGUGUAUUGUUCCUCACACAAACAUGAUUUGAAUCAGAAGGAAAUCUUCACCACUGUAAAUGGAAGGAUAUAUUUUUCUAAAUAUUCACUAAAUUCUGGAAGGACGUUUACUCAGUCAAUCAGGAAACAGAAGCUGAGUUAUUCCACAGAACAAUAAUCCGACAAACACCUCAAAAUACAGCAUAUUUUA